GCCGGGCGUGGUGGCACACGCCUGUAGUCCCAGCUACUCGGGAGGCUGAGGCAGAAGAAUUGCUUGAACCCGGGAGGUGGAGGUUGCAGUGAGCCAAGAUGGUGCCACUGCACUCCAGCCUGGGCAACAGAGCGAGACUCUGUCUCAA
rnacentral:sRNA from 1 species